UGCACUGCAUGGUACAGCAUUCAGCACUUUAUUGCUGCUGGGUGUUCAAAGGACAGUGCAAUAAAUUCAAUAUCCGGCACCGUUGGUUUUCUUGGCCUUUCUGUGCAUGUUAAACCCAGUAUUUUUGAUAUAACG